GACGAACGCUGGCGGCGUGCCUAAUACAUGCAAGUAGAACGCAGUUGCGAACGGGUGAGUAACGCGUCGGUAAAUGCCUCAUAGCGGGGGAUAACUAUUGGAAAAGAUAGCUAAUACCGCCUACUGUGAGAUGGACCUGCGUUGUAUUAGCUAGUUGGUGAGGUAAAGGCGCACCAAGGCGACGAUACAUAGCCGACCUGAGAGGGUGAUCGGCCACAAUUGGACUUGGAAACGGGCCAGACUCCUACGGGAGGGAGCAGUAGGGAAGCUUUGGCAAUGGAGGGAAGUCUGACCGAGCCACGCCGCGUGAGUGAAGAAGGGUUUCGGAGCGGAAAGCUCUGUUGUUAGAGAAGCGUUAACUAACCAGAAAGGGACGGCUAACUACGUGCCAGCCGCCGCGGUAAUAC
rnacentral:rRNA from 1 species